rnacentral:lncRNA from 1 species
UUUUGAUGCAUAGAAAAUUAAUUGAUGUCAUGUUUAUUCAAAUUACAUAGCAUGUAUGCAUUUAUGACUCACCGAUGAAACCAUUUUUCAGAUAAAUUUUUUCUUAUUAAAAUCGAAACCCCAACUAAAAUAAUGCAACAUCAUUAUUCAAUAUUAUAAAAUUAAACUUAAUAAAUUGACCAUUUUUAUUAUGAAAAUGAAUCACGUCUUUUCGCAA